CACCUACGGGACGCAGCAGUGGGGGAUAUUGCACAAUGGGGGGAACCCUGAUGCAGCGACGCCGCGUGGGUGAAGAAGCGCCCCGGCGCGUAAAGCCCUGUCAGCAGGGAAGAAGAAGGACGGUACCUGACCAAGAAGCCCCGGCUAACUACGUGCCAGCAGCCGCGGUAAUACGUAGGGGGCAAGCGUUAUCCGGAUUUACUGGGUGUAAAGGGAGCGUAGACGGUGCGCCAAGUCUGGAGUGAAAUGCCGCAGCUUAACUGCGGAACUGCUUUGGAAACUGGCGAACUAGAGUGCGGGAGGGG
rnacentral:rRNA from 1 species